GGGUUCAUGUGCAUGCUUCACUAAAUCAUUUCCUUGUGACCUAGAAUAAGAUUUUUCCAAUUGGGAGUUGUAUGCUGAGAUUGUUCAUGUUGUGAAGUGCUUUGUGCGAAUGAUUAUUCUCUGUUCUUUGCCUCGGAUAACUACAAAUGAGGAGAUAACUACAAAUGAGGAGGUAUGAAGGAUUGACCGAGAAACUGAAUUAAAAUAUACUUGAUUUAAGUAUGGAUGCAUCAUGCCGUGGUUUAUUUGCAUCUCUGCACCUUUACUGGGAUGCUUACUGAAAGCCUUGCACAAGCGAAACCAGGCUAUCGUUUGGAGAAAAACACUAUACAUGCUGAGAAGAUAAGCUCAAGUAGAAGAGUACCACAUGUAAAUGACAAUGAUUUUUCAUAGAUACCCAGCGUUGGCUUGGUUGUGGAUAAAAGGAUCUAUGUACAGAAGCAUUACUAUCAUUUAUAGUUGUGUGCGCGUUUUGUACUGAAUCAUUACUAGUAUACAUGUUCUUAUCCCACCUCUUUGAGACAUAUUGUGCCUUUUGAACUCGCUGAGGCUGGAACAUAAC